GUCAGCCAUCCGUAGUGCUGGCAGCGAGGCGUUUUAGCCCACGCACCCAUCCAUUUGAAGCGAUUGGAGUUUAUUUUUAACUGGCAUAAGGGUUUCAUGUAACCCCAGCUGACCUCAAUCUCACCAUGAAGCCAAGGAUGACCUUGAACUUCUGGUCCUCCUGCCUCCACCACCUGGGAACUGAGGUGAUAGGUGUGUACUGCCACAUUUGGUUUAUGUAGUACUGGGGAUCAAACUUGAGGCUUUGUGCAUGCCCUGUGAACACAAGACCAAUGGAGCCACAUCCCGGGUCUCAAGCAAUCUCUUCUGCAAGGAAGACUGGCAGCAAUCCAAACUGUUGAGGUGCACGGUGUAGCGCACGUUGGUUGAAGAAAGAAGGCACUCCAAGAAGAAAUUUUAAGGUCUAUGUGGCAGCAGAAAAGUCCAGAUUCUCUGAUGGACUGAACCCAGAACAGCCAUACAAAGGCAGGUUUAUUGGUUGUCACACACAGCAUUUCCUCAGACCAAGGUCCCUAAUCUAAUUUACAUGUCUUACUAAAGAAGACCAUCACCUGCUUCCAUGA